GUGCCCGUAGCUCAACUGGAUAGAGCAUCCGCCUUCUAAGCGGACGGUUGCAGGUUCAAGUCCUGCCGGGCGCGCCA
rnacentral:tRNA from 1 species